rnacentral:rRNA from 1 species
GNAGGGGGCAAGCGUUAUCCGGAANNANNGGGCGNAAAGAGUGCGUAGGNGGUNACCNAAGCAGGGGGUGAAAGGCUAUGGCUNAACCAUAGUNAGCCCCCUGAACUGGGCUACUCGAGUGCAGGAGAGGAAAGCGGGAUUCCUAGUGUAGCGGUGAAAUGCGUAGAUAUUAGGAGGGACACCAGUGGCGAAGGCGGCUUUCUGGACUGUUACUGACACUGAGGCACGAAAGUGUGGGGAGCAAACAGGAUUAGAUACCCUGGUAGUCCACACCGUAAACGAUGAGCACUAGGUGUCGGGGUCGCAAGACUUCGGUGCCGCAGUUAACGCAUUAAGUGCUCCGCUUGGGGAGU